rnacentral:rRNA from 1 species
AGUGAACGCUGGCGGUAGGCCUAACACAUGCAAGUCGAACGGCAGCACAGUAAGAGCUUGCUCUUACGGGUGGCGAGUGGCGGACGGGUGAGGAAUACAUCGGAAUCUACUUUUUCGUGGGGGAUAACGUAGGGAAACUUACGCUAAUACCGCAUACGACCUACGGGUGAAAGCAGGGGAUCUUCGGACCUUGCGCGAUUGAAUGAGCCGAUGUCGGAUUAGCUAGUUGGCGGGGUAAAGGCCCACCAAGGCGACGAUCCGUAGCUGGUCUGAGAGGAUGAUCAGCCACACUGGAACUGAGACACGGCCCAGACUCCUACGGGAGGCAGCAGUGGGGAAUAUUGGACAAUGGGCGCAAGCCUGAUCCAGCCAUACCGCGUGGGUGAAGAAGGCCUUCGGGUUGUAAAGCCCUUUUGUUGGGAAAGAAAAGCAGCAGGUUAAUACCCCGCUGUUCUGACGGUACCCAAGGAAUAAGCACCGGCUAACUUCGUG